rnacentral:rRNA from 1 species
AGGGCGCAGGGCGAAUGCCUUGGCACUGGGAGCCGAUGAAAGACGUGAUAAGCUGCGAUAAGCUUCGGGGAGCUGCAAAUAAGCAUUGAUCCGGAGAUUUCUGAAUGAGGAAACUCACCUGGGUUCAUACUCAGGUACGUUAUACUGAACUUCAAAAUAGGUAUAUCGAGGGAACCGCCUGAACUGAAACAUCUAAGUAGGGCGAGGAAGAGACAUCAAACGAGAUUCCGUAAGUAGUGGCGAGCGAACGCGGAAGAGGGCAAACCGAGAGUAGAAAUACUUUCGGGGUACGGACUGCUUUUAAGACUCAAUCUGUUAACCGAACGGCAUGGGAAGGCCGGUCAGAGAGUGUGAGAACCACGUAGGUGAAAACGGAGAGAGCUGCGCAGAAUCCAGAGUACGGCCAGACACGUGAAACCUGGUCGGAAGAUGGGGGGACCACCCUCCAACCCUAAAUACUACCCAGUGACCGAUAGCGUAUAGUACUGUGAAGGAAAGGUGAAAAGCACCCCGGGAGGGGAGUGAAAAAGAACCUGAAACCCUGUGCCUACAAGCACCUAGAGCACGUCAAUGUGUGAUAGGGUACUUUUUGUAGAACGGUCCGGCGAGCGAUUGUAUGCAGCAAGGUUAAGGACUUAAGGUCUGGAGCCGAAGCGAAAGCGAGUUUGAAAAGGGCGUUAAGUUGCAUAUAAUGGGCCCGAAACCGGGUGACCUACCCAUGGUCAGGUUGAAGUGGAAGUAAAAUUCCAUGGAGGACCGAACCGACCUCCGUUGAAAAGGCGGCGGAUGAACUGUGGGUAGCGGAGAAAUUCCAAUCGAACCCGGAGAUAGCUGGUUCUCCCCGAAAUAGUUUUAGGACUAGCCUCAAGUUAGAUACCUGGAGGUAAAGCACUGAAUAGCCUAGCGGCCGAGAGGUUAGCGAAGCUUAUCAAACUCAGAAUGCCAGAGUAUUGAUGCUUGGGAGUCAGACAGUGUCAGAUAAAUGUCAUUGUCAAAAGGGAAACAGCCCAGAUCUACAGCUAAGGUCCCAAAGUCAGGUUAAGUGGAAAACGAUGUGAAGAUACGCAGACAACCAGGAUGUUGGCUCAGAAGCAGCCACUCAUUCAAAGAGUGCGUAAUAGCUCACUGGUCGAGCGUCUUUGCGCGGAGAAUUUAACGGGGCUAAACCUGACACCGAAGCUUAGGCAGCAUGUUUACAUGCUGGGUAGGGGAGCGUUGUAUACGCGGUGAAACAGUAGCGCAAGCGGCUGUGGAGUGUAUAGAAGUGAGAAUGCCGGAAUGAGUAGCGCGAAUGCAGUGAGAAUCUGCAUGGCCGAAAGCCUCAGGUUUCUGGAGGAAGGUUCGUCCGCUCCAGGUUAGUCGGGAGCUAAGGUGAGGCCUAACGGCGUAGCCGAUGCACAGACGGUAGAGAUUCCGUCACCACCAAAAGAGUUAAACACAGGGACACAUAUGAAGUCUCGGAGCCGGGUGUUGGUUCCGGUAGCGAUCGAGGGAAGUUAGUACCGAAGUCCGGGAUGGAAGAUGGCGAGAAAAGCUGUGUGUAUUUCUGCGGUGCCCGUACCGCAAACCGACACAGGUAGGUAGGAAGAAGAUUCUAAGGCCAACGGGAGAAGGGUUGUUAAGGAACUCGGCAAAUUGACCCCGUAACUUCGGGAGAAGGGGUGCUGCAGCAAUGCAGCCGCAGAGAAUCGGCCCAAGCAACUGUUUACCAAAAACACAGGUUUGUGCUAAAUCGAAAGAUGACGUAUACGAGCUGACGCCUGCCCGGUGCUGGAAGGUUAAGAGGAGAUGUGCAAGCAUUGAAUCGAAGCCCCAGUGAACGGCGGCCGUAACUAUAACGGUCCUAAGGUAGCGAAAUUCCUUGUCAGGUAAGUUCUGACCCGCACGAAAGGCGUAAUGAUUUGGGCACUGUCUCAACAGCCCGCCCGGCGAAAUUGUAGUACCGGUGAAGAUGCCGGUUACCCGCGACAAGACGGAAAGACCCCAUGGAGCUUUACUGUAGCCUAAUAUUGGGUUUCGAUGUUGCAUGCACAGGAUAGAUGGGACUCUUGGAAACCAAGGCUUUGGCUUUGGCGGAGAGGCCGUUGGGAUACCAUCCUUGCGAUAUUGGAAUUCUAACCUGCGGCUCUGAAUCGAGUCGGGGGACAUUGUUAGGUGGGCAGUUUGACUGGGGCGGUCGCCUCCUAAAAAGUAACGGAGGCGUUCAAAGGUUCGCUCAGCUUGAACGGAAAUCAAGCAAAAGAGUGCAAACGCAGAAGCGAGCCUAACUGCGAGACUGACGGGUCGAGCAGUAACGAAAGUUGGAGUUAGUGAUCCGGUGGUAUGUGAGUGGAAAUGCCAUCGCUCAACGGAUAAAAGUUACCCUGGGGAUAACAGGCUGAUCUCCCCCAAGAGUCCACAUCGACGGGGAGGUUUGGCACCUCGAUGUCGGCUCAUCGCAUCCUGGGGCUGAAUUCGGUCCCAAGGGUUUGGCUGUUCGCCAAUUAAAGCGGUACGCGAGCUGGGUUCAGAACGUCGUGAGACAGUUCGGUCCCUAUCUGUCGUGGGCGCAGGAUAUUUGAUGGGAGCUGUUCCUAGUACGAGAGGACCGGAGCGGACGUACCUCUGGCGCACCAGUUGUUCUGCCAAGAGCAUAGCUGGGCAACUAUGUACGGAUCGGAUAAACGCUGAAAGCAUCUAAGCGUGAAGCCGACCCAAAGAUAAGAUAUCCCAUUGU